rnacentral:rRNA from 1 species
AAUGAACGUUGGCGGCGUGCCUAACACAUGCAAGUCGAACGAGGUCCAAUCUGUAGCAAUACAGAUGAAGACCGAGUGGCGAACGGGUGAGUAGCACGUGAGCAACCUGCCCCGAAGACCGGGACAACACCGGGAAACCGGUGCUAAUACCGGAUAUCCCCAUCGAGUCGCAUGGCUUGAUGAGGAAAUGGAUUCCGCUUCGGGAGGGGCUCGCGGCCUAUCAGCUUGUUGGUGAGGUAACGGCUCACCAAGGCUUCGACGGGUAGCUGGUCUGAGAGGACGAUCAGCCACACUGGGACUGAGACACGGCCCAGACUCCUACGGGAGGCAGCAGUGGGGAAU